rnacentral:rRNA from 1 species
UACGUAGGGGGCAAGCGUUGUCCGGAAUUAUUGGGCGUAAAGGGCUCGUAGGCGGUCUGUUGCGUCGGGAGUGAAAACUUACAGCUUAACUGUGAGCGUGCUUCCGAUACGGGCAGACUUGAGGUAUUCAGGGGAGAACGGAAUUCCUGGUGUAGCGGUGAAAUGCGCAGAUAUCAGGAGGAACACCGAUGGCGAAGGCAGGUCUCUGGGCAUUAACUGACGCUGAGGAGCGAAAGCGUGGGGAGCAAACAGG